rnacentral:rRNA from 1 species
GACGAACGCUGGCGGCGUGCUUAACACAUGCGAGUCGAACGGAAAGGCCCUGCUUUUGUGGGGUGCUCGAGUGGCGAACGGGUGAGUAACACGUGAGUAACCUGCCCUUGACUUUGGGAUAACUUCAGGAAACUGGGGCUAAUACCGGAUAGGAGCUCCUGCUGCAUGGUGGGGGUUGGAAAGUUUCGGCGGUUGGGGAUGGACUCGCGGCUUAUCAGCUUGUUGGUGGGGUAGUGGCUUACCAAGGCUUUGACGGGUAGCCGGCCUGAGAGGGUGACCGGCCACAUUGGGACUGAGAUACGGCCCAGACUCCAACGGGAGGCAGCAGUGGGGAAUAUUGCACAAUGGGCGGAAGCCUGAUGCAGCAACGCCGCGUGCGGGAUGACGGCCUUCGGGUUGUAAACCGCUUUCGCCUGUGACGAAGCGUGAGUGACGGUAAUGGGUAAAGAAGCACCGGCUAACUACGUG